UGCAAGUCGAACGGUGAAGCCCAGCUUGCUGGGUGGAUCAGUGGCGAACGGGUGAGUAACACGUGAGCAACCUGCCCCUGACUCUGGGAUAAGCGCUGGAAACGGCGUCUAAUACUGGAUAUGUGACGUGACCGCAUGGUCUGCGUUUGGAAAGAUUUUUCGGUUGGGGAUGGGCUCGCGGCCUAUCAGCUUGUUGGUGAGGUAAUGGCUCACCAAGGCGUCGACGGGUAGCCGGCCUGAGAGGGUGACCGGCCACACUGGGACUGAGACACGGCCCAGACUCCUACGGGAGGCAGCAGUGGGGAAUAUUGCACAAUGGGCGCAAGCCUGAUGCAGCAACGCCGCGUGAGGGAUGACGGCCUUCGGGUUGUAAACCUCUUUUAGCAGGGAAGAAGCGAAAGUGACGGUACCUGCAGAAAAAGCGCCGGCUAACUACGUGCCAGCAGCCGCGGUAAUACGUAGGGCGCAAGCGUUAUCCGGAAUUAUUGGGCGUAAAGAGCUCGUAGGCGGUUUGUCGCGUCUGCUGUGAAAUCCCGAGGCUCAACCUCGGGCCUGCAGUGGGUACGGGCAGACUAGAGUGCGGUAGGGGAGAUUGGAAUUCCUGGUGUAGCGGUGGAAUGCGCAGAUAUCAGGAGGAACACCGAUGGCGAAGGCAGAUCUCUGGGCCGUAACUGACGCUGAGGAGCGAAAGGGUGGGGAGCAAACAGGCUUAGAUACCCUGGUAGUCCACCCCGUAAACGUUGGGAACUAGUUGUGGGGUCCAUUCCACGGAUUCCGUGACGCAGCUAACGCAUUAAGUUCCCCGCCUGGGGAGUACGGCCGCAAGGCUAAAACUCAAAGGAAUUGACGGGGACCCGCACAAGCGGCGGAGCAUGCGGAUUAAUUCGAUGCAACGCGAAGAACCUUACCAAGGCUUGACAUAUACGAGAACGGGCCAGAAAUGGUCAACUCUUUGGACACUCGUAAACAGGUGGUGCAUGGUUGUCGUCAGCUCGUGUCGUGAGAUGUUGGGUUAAGUCCCGCAACGAGCGCAACCCUCGUUCUAUGUUGCCAGCACGUAAUGGUGGGAACUCAUGGGAUACUGCCGGGGUCAACUCGGARGAAGGGUGGGGAUGACGUCAAAUCAUCAUGCCCCUUAUGUCUUGGGCUUCACGCMUGCUACAAUGGCCGGUACAAAGGGCUGCAAUACCGCGAGGUGGAGCGAAUCCCAAAAAGCCGGUCCCAGUUCGGAUUGAGGUCUGCAACUCGACCUCAUGAAGUCGGAGUCGCUAGUAAUCGCAGAUCAGCAACGCUGCGGUGAAUACGUUCCCGGGUCUUGUACACACCGCAAGUCAAGUCAUGAAAGUCGGUAACACCUGAAGCCGGUGGCCUAACCCUUGUGGAGGGAGCC
rnacentral:rRNA from 1 species